UACGUAGGGUCCGAGCGUUGUCCGGAAUUAUUGGGCGUAAAGAGCUCGUAGGCGGUUUGUCGCGUCUGCUGUGAAAUCCCGAGGCUCAACCUCGGGUCUGCAGUGGGUACGGGCAGACUGGAGUGCGGUAGGGGAGAAUGGAAUUCCUGGUGUAGCGGUGGAAUGCGCAGAUAUCAGAAGGAACACCGAUGGCGAAGGCAGUUCUCUGGGCCGUAACUGACGCUGAGGAGCGAAAGCGUGGGGAGCGAACAGG
rnacentral:rRNA from 1 species